CUGAGAGUUUGAUUCUGGCUCAGAACGAACGCUGGCGGCAGGCUUAACACAUGCAAGUCGAGCGCACUCUUCGGAGUGAGCGGCAGACGGGUGAGUAACGCGUGGGAACGUGCCCUUUGGUUCGGAAUAGCCCUUGGAAACGAGGAGUAAUGCCGAAUGUGCCCUUCGGGGGAAAGAUUUAUCGCCAAAGGAUCGGCCCGCGUUAGAUUAGCUUGUUGGUGAGGUAACGGCUCACCAAGGCGACGAUCUAUAGCUGGUCUGAGAGGAUGAUCAGCCACACUGGGACUGAGACACGGACCAGACUCCUACGGGAGGCAGCAGUGGGGAAUCUUGGACAAUGGGCGCAAGCCUGAUCCAGCCAUUCCGCGUGGAUGAUGAAGGCCCUAGGGUUGUAAAAUCCUUUCGGCAGGGAAGAUAAUGACGGUACCUGCUAAAGAAGCCCCGGCUAACUCCGUGCCAGCAGCCGCGGUAAUACGGAGGGUGCAAGCGUU
rnacentral:rRNA from 1 species